rnacentral:lncRNA from 1 species
UUCUAAUAAUUUUCAACUUUUUUUUGAUUUUUUUCAACUUAAUUAUUAAGAAGUGUGCAAAUUUUGACUUAAAAUCAACUGUUCAUUAAUUAGUUAUUGAAGUUUAAAUCUGUUGUAAAAAUUACUAAGGUUUGGUUAUGAUUUGGUUUAGGAUUUAAGGUUUGGUUAGGAUUUGAUUUAAGGUUUAGGAUUUGGUUAGGAUUUGAUUUAGGCUUAAGAUUUGAUUAGGAUUUGGUUUAUUAUUUAUAAUUUGAUUUAGGAUUUAAGAUUUGAUUAGGGUUUUGUUCGGAUUUGAUUUAAGGUUAGGGUUUGAUUAGGAUUUGAUUUAAGAUUAGGAUUUGAUUAUGAUUUGAUUUAGGAUUAUAAUUUAGUUUAGGAUUUAGGAUUUGAUUAGGAUUUGAUUAGGAUUUGGUUUAGGGUUUAAGAUUUGAUUUAGAGUUUAAGGUUUGAUUAGGAUUUGAUUUAGGAUUUAAGAUUUGAUUAAGAUUUGAUUUAGGAUUUGAUUAGGGUUAGAUUUAAGAUUUAGAAUUUGAUUAGGAUUUGAUUUAGGAUUUAAGAUUUUAUUAGGGUUUGUUUAAGAUUUAAGAUUUUUUUAGUUUUUGGCCUAAAGUUUGAAUGAAGUCCAAUAGGAUUUUAACUAGGAUUAAAUUAAGAUUGAAUUGAGAUGUAUUUGAGAUAUAUUUGUGAUCAUUCAAAUAUUUCUUUAAGAUUUCUUAUUAUUUCUUUGUAAUUUUUUUGAGGUUUCUUUGAAUAUAGUUAAAGCUUGCUUAGCAUUGUUAUGAUUUAAUUAGAAUUUAGUUAAUAUUCUAUUAGAGUUAGAAUUUUUUUUUU